rnacentral:rRNA from 1 species
GCUUACGGCCAUACCAGCCUGGGUACGCGGUCUGAUCUCGGAAGCUAAGCAGGGUCGUGCCUGGUUAGUACUUGGAUGGGAGACCGCCUGGGAAAACCAAGUGCUGUAAGCA